rnacentral:tRNA from 1 species
GGAGCGGUGUCCGAGUGGUUGAAGGAGGCGGUUUCGAAAACCGUUGAGCCGCAAGGUUCCGGGGGUUCGAAUCCCCCCUGCUCCG